rnacentral:rRNA from 1 species
GGAAGGAGACUUCCUUAGUACCGCAGCUAACGCGUGAAGUCGACCGCCUGGGGAGUACGGUCGCAAGAUUAAAACUCAAAGGAAUUGACGGGGACCCGCACCAAGCGGUGGAUGAUGUGGAUUAAUUCGAUGCAACGCGAAAAACCUUACCUACCCUUGACAUGUNCAGGAAGUCCGCUGAGAGGUGGAUGUGCCCGAAAGGGAACCUGAACACAGGUGCUGCAUGGCUGUCGUCAGCUCGUGUCGUGAGAUGUUGGGUUAAGUCCCGCAACGAGCGCAACCCUUGUCAUUAGUUGCUACAUUCAGUUGGGCACUCUAAUGAGACUGCCGGUGACAAACCGGAGGAAGGUGGGGAUGACGUCAAGUCCUCAUGGCCCUUAUGGGUAGGGCCUCACACGUCAUACAAUGGCGGAUACAGAGGGUUGCCAACCCGCGAGGGGGAGCCAAUCCCAGAAAGUCCGUCGUAGUCCGGAUCGGAGUCUGCAACUCGACUCCGUGAAGUCGGAAUCGCUAGUAAUCGCGGAUCAGCAUGUCGCGGUGAAUACGUUCCCGGGUCUUGUACACACCGCCCGUCACACCAUGGGAGCGGGUUUCACCAGAAGUAGCUAGCCUAACCGCAAGGGGGGCGGUUACCACGGUGAGAUUCGUGANCUGGGGUGAAGUCGUAANCAAGGUACC